rnacentral:lncRNA from 1 species
GUAAGAUCUGUGCCUUCCGAAGAGGGUAGAGUCUUCUGGAGGGACAUUACAAAUAAUCAGGCACUCCCAGUGCUGGGAGCUAAGUUCUGUUACAGGGAAGAGAAAGAAACAAUGGGAAUACCAAGGAGGAUAUUUACAGAGGGGGAAGGCUUUGAGCUGAAAUUGAACGGUGAAUAAAGGCUGAGCAGCCAUGGUGAGAUGGGGGGAGACUCUUCUGAAUGGUGUGGUGGCGGAAGUGGGGGUGGGGGGGAUGCAACAGUCUUGUUGGACUGGAACAUAGAGUUCAAAUGGCGGAAUUUCAGAGCUUUGACGCUCUACUAUUAAGAAGGUCCAGCAAGUUCUGCCGUGAACAGUUGUGCUCAUAGCUAGCUGUGUGAUCUUGAACAAGUUUCUUUGUCUCCAAAACCUAGUUUUGUUACAGGUAGAUAGGCAAGAGUGGGCUCUCCCCCGACGCACUAGAAAUGUCGGAUGACAGUUCCACAGUUAUCGCAUUGCCUCUCUAAAAAUCAUAAUUCAGCAGCCAGGGAGAGACAAUCUCCUGAUGGUCCAUAACCUUGACAUUAAAAGUGUUAACUGAAUACAGAUCCCAGGGAGAAGCAGAUUCUUGGGCAUGUGUGUUAAGAGAUAAAAUGGCAAAGUAUGACUUUCCGGGGUACACGCCACAGGAAAAAGGAAAAAGUCUCAGGUGGGCAUGCGUGUAACUCCCUAAACGCACUGCGCGUGCUCAAUUCCAAAGGCUAAGGAAAGCAUUGCGCAUGCGGGAAACCCACGCUGAGGGAAGAAUCAUGGGAAAGAGUAGAGACGGGGUUCCACCGUGUUAGCCAGGAUGGUCUCGAUUUCCUGACCUCGUCAUCCUCCCGCCUUGGCCUCCCAAAGUGCUGGGAUUACAGGCUUGAGCCACCGCGCCCCGCUCUUUCGUGUUCCAAAGGCUUUUUAAAUAAACUUCCACUCCUGUCCUGGAUUCUGCUUUAUGGCCCUCAGUCGAAUUCUUUCUUCUGAGGAGGCAAGGACUGAAGUUGCUUCUGACCAGUACAGGAGAAAACGAAUACAGCAGGGAUGACUUCCACCAGCUCCACUUUGCAGCUCUGAGGUGUAUUAAAAAUAAACCUAGAGCCCCACCAAAUGAAUCCGCUGGCACGUGGACCUCAGAUGGGGGAAACUGAGGACUGAAUUCUGACCACCCUCCUUUGUUCUAAAUUUCUUCCUGAAGGACCUGGAAGAAGUCAUGCCACGGGCCAGACCUUAACAUUCCUUUCGGCUUACCCCAGGAUUUCAGACAAAGCUUCACUUUCCUAACCAGUCACAAAUCAGAGAAUUUUUGAUUCCACCUAUGACCUGUGAGCUCCUGCUUCAAGAUAUUCCACCUUUUUUAGGCCAAACCAAUGUAUAACCUCCAAGUGUCGAUUUACACUUUCGACUGUAACUUCUGCUUUCCUGAGAUUUACCCCUGCCUUUAAAAACCCUUGCUUGUAAUCCCUCAGGGAGGCCGUGUAUUUAUUAAUCAUGAGCUGCCCAAUUCUCCUUGCUUGGUGCCCUGCAAAUAAACACCCUCUUUUCUCCCACUGCAAAACCUCAGUGUGGAUGUUUGGCUUUACUUCACCCCCAGGAAAGCAGACCCAGGUUUGACUCAGCAACAACAUCUGUUUCUAUUUUUCUCUGUAUAAAUAUUAAAAACCAUAAGUACAUGCUAUCUCCAAUUCCAAUAUAAACCCAUA